rnacentral:rRNA from 1 species
CCUACGGGGGGCAGCAGUGGGGAAUAUUGCACAAUGGGCGCAAGCCUGAUGCAGCCAUGCCGCGUGUGUGAAGAAGGCCUUCAGGUUGUAAAGCACUUUCAGCGGGGAGGAAGGCGGUGAGGUUAAUAACCUCAUCGAUUGACGUUACCCGCAGAAGAAGCACCGGCUAACUCCGUGCCAGCAGCCGCGGUAAUACGGAGGGUGCAAGCGUUAAUCGGAAUUACUGGGCGUAAAGCGCACGCAGGCGGUCUGUCAAGUCGGAUGUGAAAUCCCCGGGCUCAACCUGGGAACUGCAUUCGAAACUGGCAGGCUAGAGUCUUGUAGAGGGGGGUAGAAUUCCAGGUGUAGCGGUGAAAUGCGUAGAGAUCUGGAGGAAUACCGGUGGCGAAGGCGGCCCCCUGGACAAAGACUGACGCUCAGGUGCGAAAGCGUGGGGAGCAAACAGGAUUAGAUACCCGGGUAGUC